AAAAGCCCCACCUCUCCACGCAGAGACUACGAUUCCCAGCAGGCAGAGCCACAAGGUUUUCCAAGUUCCUCCGGACCUACGACGGCGCCUCCCGCGCGGGGGAUGCUGGGAGUGGGUAUGAGGCCGCUGACCUAGUAGCUGACUGGAUCUAGAUGUGGACAGAGGAGAGCGACGUGGCCUGACUUCCGAGUCUAGUAUUUGGAACUGACCAGUGAUUCAUCUUCUCGAGAAGAGCCUUGCACUCCCCACGCCUGGACCCCGAACUGCAGGGACAGAAAAACUCAAGGACACGAGACUUAUUUUGAGAGUUUUACAGAACACUCAUGCAAAGUUUAAUGGGGAACCACUCCAGGCCCUCAGAGACCAGAUUAUGACAUCAGCACUAACUGCAGGUGCUAGGCCCCAGGCCUGCCUUGCCCAAAGCCUGGAGGCUGAGGCAGGAGACCCGACAGUUUGAGGCCCCUGUGGAAUACAGAGAGACAGAUGGGGAAAAGGAAAACAGAGGGGCCUUAGGCGUCUGGAAGAAUGCAAACUUCAGCUCCUGGGUUCAUAUUCCAAAGGACUGGUGACGGAGGAAAAGACUGAACAAGCAGACAGGCUGUUGGGUCCAUUCUGCAAACCUUCACUCAGUGUCCCUUGCACAGGACAGAAACAGAGAGCACGAGGCUGCUGGUCUUCAUCAGUUCUCCAGCUCCCUGGUUUUUUUGGUGGGGUCUCCCUGUAGCCUUAAGUGGCUUGAAGUUUUCUAUGUAGUGCAGGCUGACCACAAAAUCUGCCUACCUCUGCCCCCCAUGUGCGGGGAUUAAAGGGGAGCCAACA